UAUACCAAGGGGUAUUAGUUUAUUCAAAACAUUAUAUCAUUACUUAUUAAGGGCAAUAUGGAGGGAAGACAAGUUAAGGUUCUUUUAAUUGUUGCUCUAGUAUUAGGAAUGCUUGCAAGGCAAUCCACAGCCGGAUUUCCGGGUUGCUAUGCCAAAUGCUUUGGUCAAUGUAUCAUAACAACCUUCAGUCCUAUCAAGUGCGCUCUUCAAUGUAUGACAUGCAUAAUAAAUCCUUCAGGCUUGCAACCAAAUUCUCAUGACUAUUGCAAGCUUGGUUGUGCGAUGAAUGCAUGCACUAAUAUAAGCACUAAAGAAAAUCCUGCUGUGGCCGAGGUGACUAGCUGUGUAGACUCUUGCUCGGAGAUGUGCACCACGAAAUCUCCUUAGUCACUUAGAGGACUAUGGUAGCAUUUUGCGUUCAUUCAAGUGAAUAAAUGUAACCCCAAUUGGCUAGACUACAAUGUCCUUCUUACUUGAAAAAAUUGAAUAAGUAGUCUAUGUAUCACCGAUCUUUUGUUUAAUAAGGAAUUGGUUUCACAAAUGUACUUGUUCUUUUUA